rnacentral:rRNA from 1 species
CAGUCGCCGCGGGAAUACGAAGGGUGCAAGCGUUAAUCGGAAUUACUGGGCGUAAAGCGUGCGUAGGCGGUGAGUUAAGUCUGCUGUGAAAUCCCCGGGCUCAACCUGGGAAUGGCAGUGGAUACUGGCUCGCUAGAGUGUGUCAGAGGAUGGUGGAAUUCCCGGUGCAGCGGUGAAAUGCGUAGAUAUUCGGAAGAACACCAGUGGCGAAGGCGGCUUACUGGCUCAUUCUAGACGCUGAGGUGCGAAAGCGUGGGGAGCAAACAGGAUUAGAUACCCCCGUAGUCCCUGUCUCUUAUAC